UGUAAGCGUAUACCAAAGUUGUUGCAGUUAAAACGCUCGUAGUCGGAAUUUGGCAGUUCCGGAUGUGUGCACGUCGUGUGCGCACUUCGCGGGGAUUGCUUUUGUGGUCUUGCGUAGGAUGAGGCACUUUUAUUAGUGAACGUCCUCACGCAACCACUCUUUACUGUGAGAAAAUCAGAGUGCUCAAAGCAGGCAUUUGCCGUGAAUGUAUUAGCAUGGAAUAAUAGAAUAGGACUCGGUUCUAUUUUGUUGGUUUGUUGGGACUGAGUAAUGAUUAAGAGGGACAGUUGGGGGCAUUUGUAUUCCGGCGCUAGAGGUGAAAUUCUUAGAUUGCCGGAAGACAAACUGCUGCGAAAGCGUCUGCCAAGGAUGUUUUCAUUGA
rnacentral:rRNA from 1 species